UGUGGGAGCGGGCUUGCUCGCGAAAGCGGUGUUUCAGUCAACUCAUAUACGGACUGACAGAUCGCUUUCGCGAGCAAGCCCGCUCCCACA
rnacentral:misc_RNA from 1 species